UUUUUUUUUUGUGUCCAUGAAUGGAGAGCCGGUCCCUGUUUGAUGUGUUAAAUAUGUUAGGAUUUAGGGUUUAAAAAGAUUCUAAAAAUAUUUCUACUAAGGUUUUAUGGUUAAUCUUAUACUAUUAUUAGCAAUUACCCAGCAAAUGCUGGGUGGCUGGCAAAUUUCAUGCCAUUUUAAAAGAUUUGCUGAGCUUAGCUAUAUUUGCUGUUUGAUCAACUUAGUGUCUAAGGAUAACUCUCAAAAUCUAGAAGAAAGAACUUUACAAAAAAAAGUCUUGAAGCUAAACUAACCUAUCAUAGUUAGUAAUUGAUUCAGUAAUUAGAAGCUUUGCGGCUGGAAAGGCAGAGAAGGAGAGAGAUUCCAUGCAUCACCAGAAGCUUGAAAUGAUUCGAGCCUCUUGAUUCUAUACAUCUGGAUGUGCAAAUGAUUGAUCGUGGCAGUGGAAGCUAUGGUAGUAGAAAUCGAGUUAGCCUAGGAAAAGAAUUGUUGAGAAAAAAAGGGAUCACUCACUUGUAGCGACAUUGCAAAGGUGGAUGUGAUGAGUGGUAAUUUCCCCGAACCCUACUGUGCACAUGCCUUGACGUGAUAAAAUUUAAGGAGCUGGAGAGCCAACAUGGAUUCACAAACUUGCUCAUCCAUCUUGCAGAAAUGCGGUGGUAGAGAAAAGCUAUGGGGUGAAAACGUUUCAUCGUAAAUGUGCGUGCAUAGUGACUUUACUUCUGUGACUGGUUUUAACACAUGUCCUCAGACUCUGAUCUGGCAUUGUAAUUAACGAAAAGUUCAACAAAUUUGCAAAAGAAAUAAUACCUUUGAGUCAUCUGCUCCUGACCCAGCACCAUUUUAUUAGUGCACAUGUCAAAUAGUUUUAGUUACAGAAAAAAAUAGAAAGAAUUUCUUACCAAACAUCUGUGAGCAUAGCUUCUCCACCUGAAGGAAAGUAACUCGGCCUCAUCUCCAAGCAAACACAGGUGAGUUCCCUAGUGACUAUGACUGGGACACACUUCUCUUCACCACCUCGUAGACAGCAAAUCUGCAAAUCCGCACCAAGGCUCACUCGUUGUUAUCUCAGCUUUCUCUCCACACAUUUCGAAUUUGCAGCAUGUAUUAUUUUAUUUUAUUUUUGUCCAUGAUAUCUUACUUGUCAGGGAGAACUUCGGUUUACAAAGGCAUUCCUCUACAAUGUUCUCUUGCAAUGGUUGCAGGGUGCUCAUCUUGCUCAUGAAAUUUUUGAAGUUAAAAGCGACAUUAAUAAAACUGAUCAGCAUUUGAAUCACUCGGCCUCGGGGCAGCAAUUGCCCGAAUUCCUAGUUCCCAGCUCCAUCUCGACCGUUUUGGACACAACUUCGAUUCCAAGAACCCUAAAAAUAGCAAAAUAAAUGUGAAAACUGAGAGUGCAGUCACAACAAAAAUAAUGGUUACCCUAUCAGCACUCCUUUGCACUUUGUCGUUUCUUCGCAAAUAUUGAACAACCAUGCCUGAGGAUAAGAGCAGCAUUUGAGAUAUAGAUUGAUCCACGGCCCCCCUAAUCACAGCUCUAAAACUCCAAAACCGAAGUCUCUUUACUUUCCAAUGUAGAAAAAAAAAGAAGGAAAUUAAUACAGAUAGACCACUCAAAGUUCCACUGCCCCGAUUUAUCUCAAUAAAGAUUACAACUCAUAUGAUGAGGAAAAACCGUAUAUGAUGACAAAAAAUACGAAGGCUGAGAUCAGAAUCAGAAUCUCCAUAGCUUCUCUCCGCAAAUCCAUGCCAAUUCUUUCACUAUGUCAAGAAUAGGGAAAUCUUACAUUAGGAAUCGAUUCAUCUGCCUAGCUCAAUCCAUCAGUGCUGACGUGUGCAAUUGAACUGAAAUUCAGAGAGAGCCCAGGCCACAAAAGCUGGAUUCUAUCCUGGCACACUCCCUCACCAGCCCUGCCUGUGGUGCUGCUCACGCACCACAAGCAGAGCAGCCAUGGAACCCUAGUAGUGCAUCACGCCCUCUUCCCUCCCCGGCCACAUAUGCUUGCCACCCAUUGACCGCCACAACAUUGAGCCAAUAUUCUCACAAACCAUGGCCCUUGACUAGGCUGGGGCUUACUGGGAACCCUGGGCUUGGAAUUGGACGGCUGCAGGGGUUUAGGCCCUUUGUUCUUAUAUAUAUAGAUAAAGUUGUAAUAUAGUGCAAUGUAUAUGCAUUUUUUAAUUCAAUUUCAAGGGAUGUUAACUGUUGGUUACAAGAAUAUAAAAUGCAACAUGGCAAGGUAAUAUUUUUCUUGUGAAUUCAAGUUUCCUCAUUCAACAAGGUUUAUUUAUCAUUUCAUGAUUAUAAAAAUUUAAUUAGGAUCCUAGAUCAUAUCACUAAUUAAAUUAUAUGUUUAGUAUUAUUUUAUUUUCAGUAACUUCCAAACAGCAAAAGCUUAUCAAUGCUAAUAUAUAGGUUUUAACAGGGAAGGUAUAUAGCUAAGCUAUAAUGGCUAUCUUAGUCAGAAUGUUUAUAGUUUUAAUACUUAAAUUUUUCUAUUUGAAAGAGACUAUUGCACCACCAAAUGUGAGAUUUGGAACGGCCAAAAUAUUAAAUACUCAAGAUAUGGUAAAAGUUAUUGGCUUAAUUACAGAUUUAAUAAAUAAAAUUCACUACAAAACAGAUUAUGCUCGUAAUUAUGGAGAUGGAGGAUCUGUUACUGUUUCAUGUGGAAUUGUAAAUAUAGAAAUUAAAUCAAAAUACCAAUGCUCUAUAAGUGAGACAGUGGUAAAAACAAAGGGAAGAAACUUAAUAGCUGGUUUUGAAAGACUUUUAUAUCCAUAUAUAAGUAUGCUUAAUCAAAAGCUUUAUGAUUAUUUUGUAAAUGAAAAUGAUGGUUUUUUCAUACAAUAUAAGCUAGAAAAGCGGGAAGAACUUCUUCAAAAAGAUAAAUUGUUUGAUAGUUUUUAUUUAUGCAUUCUUGAAUCUAAUACACUUAUUAGCCCUAUGAUUUUUUAUAGUGGUAACUUUUUAGUCUCUCCUAAUAAAAAAGCUAUUUUAAUUUUAAAAACAGAUUGCAAUCUUGUUCUUUAUUUCCAGAAAACUCAAAUUUGGGAGUCACAUACAUCACAAAACAUUAGUGUUUAUUGUGUAUUAAAAUUUCAAACUAAUGGUGAUUGCAUUUUAUACAAUAAUUACAAAAUAAUUUGGAGAACUAAUACUCAAUUUACAAGUUCCUUAAAACUUUUUUAUUUUACUGUUCAGAAUGAUUGUAAUUUGGUAAUUUCUACUGUAGAAUUUCCAAAUAAAAUAUGGUGGGCAUUAAGUUCUCAUUCUUUAUGUUAGAACAUCAGUUAUAAAAUAGAUAAUAACUCCCCUAAUAGAUAAAUUAGAGCAUAAGUUUAUAAUUAUAUUUCUGUAAUACUCAAACAAGUUUAUCCUAAGUAUUACUAGAACCCAUUUCAAUUAUUAGUAUUAAACCCCAAAAAUAUGUAAUUCAUUUGCCUUAAUUAACUCUGUGUCCUUGAUUUCAUCACUUAUUUCAGAGAAGCUUUCAUAGUGGAUUUUUUCCUAAACGACGUUGCUUUUUGAGCUCCAAACAAAAAAGUAUAUGUCAACGUGAAUAACCAAGUUUUUUUCUAACUAAUAUACAAAAUACUUGUUUAAUGAUUAAAAACAUGGGCUUUAAAAACCAAAAGGAACAUUGCCAAAGCCCCAGAGAACGAGAAGAAAAAAACAAACAGCACGAAAGUACACAGCCAGCGUCCAAAAGAAAACAGCAACCUGUUCAGAGAAAAAAGAAGACAAACCAAAAAGGAUGAAAAGUAACGAGCACCACGAGACGAAAGCGAUGAAAACCUGUGCUCCUCACUCUUCUUCCACCACCGUCAUGUAACCUGGAUGUGCGCUGCCGUGUGAGAGUUUGCAGGAGGCCGCCAGUGUUAACACCGAAGGAGCCCGGCUCCCAAGGUGCAAAAAAAGGAUGGAACCAAACAGGCUCGUCAAAAACUGAGCCUGCAAAAACUGGACGGUGCCCUGAAAAAAUCCACCAGCAGCUCCCCCAAGCUAGAUAACAUAUCCAUCUUCGUCGCUCGCGAGUGUGUGGAAAAACGGCCUCUCCGCAUAGGCCCUCCAAACUUUGAUGAAGAGAAAAAAAGGAAACCUGCGCUGCGUAGUGAUUCACCCAACCUGUGCCUGUUUGCCUGCCCGUCCUCGUCGCU
rnacentral:lncRNA from 1 species